rnacentral:SRP_RNA from 1 species
CCGCGCUAGAUGGGGAGGUAGCGGUGCCCUGUAUCCGCAAUCCGCUAUAGCGGAGUUGAAUUCCUGCCCCAGGCUUAUAAGUGUAAAGCCAGUUGUGCUGUAAGAUACAAUGAUGAUUGGGUCUUGCGCAAUUCAGAAACGUGAACUCCGUCAGGUCCGGGAGGAAGCAGCGGUAAGCGGAACCUCUGGGUGUGCCGCGAGUUUGCCUGGUUUGAGUAUACUGUGCAUGAGACGUUUGUACUUGUCUGUCGAAGGCAGGUGCGCGG